CAGACUGUCCACCCUGCUCUCAGGAGAGAAUGAUAAAGCAGUUUCAUGAAGUAAUAGACAGAGUUUGGAAAUGGUGACAAACACAAGCUGAGAUUGUUUCCAAAUAUGAAGAGCGAGACUAUCAAAGGGAAAAGACAAUCUCACAGAGUCCUCUGUGUUUCCUGAAGUGGAGCUGAUCUCAUUAGAAGAAAACAUGAAAAACAGAAAACAUCUAAACUGGACUUCAUAAGUCUGAAGUACCCUAAAUCAGUGGUGGUUUUAAGAAAAGUACCCUUAUUACCUUGUUUCUUUGUACUCUUAUACAAAAUAAUUUUGUGCCAGACUGAACUCUGGAGAAUUGUAGAGUUGU